CAGUAGCCACGGGAAUACGGAGGAUCCAAGCGUUAUCCGGAAUCAUUGGGUUUAAAGGGUCCGUAGGCGGUCUUGUAAGUCAGUGGUGAAAGCCCAUCGCUCAACGGUGGAACGGCCAUUGAUACUGCAGGACUUGAAUUAUUGGGAAGUAACUAGAAUAUGUAGUGUAGCGGUGAAAUGCUUAGAGAUUACAUGGAAUACCAAUUGCGAAGGCAGGUUACUACCAAUUGAUUGACGCUGAUGGACGAAAGCGUGGGUAGCGAACAGGAUUAGAUACCCGAGUAGUCCCUGUCUCUUAUAC
rnacentral:rRNA from 1 species